UGAGGAAUAUUGGUCAAUGGGCGGAAGCCUGAACCAGCCAAGUCGCGUGAGGGAAUAAGGCCUCACGGGUCGUAAACCUCUUUUGUCAGGGAGCAAGGCGCGGUACGUGUACCGCGACGGAGAGUACCUGAAGAAAAAGCAUCGGCUAACUCCGUGCCAGCAGCCGCGGUAAUACGGAGGAUGCGAGCGUUAUCCGGAUUUAUUGGGUUUAAAGGGUGCGUAGGCGGGCUUUUAAGUCAGCGGUCAAAUUGAGGGCUCAACCCUCCUCGCCGUUGAAACUGGGAGUCUUGAGUGAGCGAGAAGUAAGCGGAAUGCGUGGUGUAGCGGUGAAAUGCAUAGAUAUCACGCAGAACCCCG
rnacentral:rRNA from 1 species